rnacentral:misc_RNA from 1 species
GAUGAAGAACGUAGCGAAAUGCGAUACGUAAUGUGAAUUGCAGAAUUCAGUGAAUCAUCGAAUCUUUGAACGCAUAUUGCGCUCUUUGGUAUUCCGAAGAGCAUGCUUGUUUGAGUAUCAGUAAACACCUCAAAGCUUUUGGAUUUUUUAAUCGAAAAGCUUUGGACUUGAGCAAUCCCAACACCAAUCUUUUUGAGAUCGGUGGCGGGUUGCUUGAAAUGCAGGUGCAGCUGGACAUUCUCCUGAGCUAAAAGCAUAUUCAUUUAGUCCCGUCAAACGGAUUAUUACUUUUGCUGCAGCUAACAUAAAGGGAGUUUGACCGUAUUGGCUGACUGAUGCAGGAUUUCACAAGGGUCGGCAACGAUUCUUGUUAAACUCGAUCUCAAAUCAAGUAAGACUACCCGCUGAACUUAAGCAUAUCAAUAAGGGAGGA